GAUGAACGCUGGCGGCGUGCCUAAUACAUGCAAGUCGAGCGAACGGACGAGAAGCUUGCUUCUCUGAUGUUAGCGGCGGACGGGUGGGUAACACGUGGAUAACCUACCUAUAAGACUGGGAUAACUUCGGGAAACCGGAGCUAAUACCGGAUAAUAUUUUGAACCGCAUGGUUCAAAAGUGAAAGACGGUCUUGCUGUCACUUAUAGAUGGAUCCGCGCUGCAUUAGUUAGUUGGUAAGGUAACGGCUUACCAAGGCAACGAUGCAUAGCCGACCUGAGAGGGUGAUCGGCCACACUGGAACUGAGACACGGUCCAGACUCCUACGGGAGGCAGCAGUAGGGAAUCUUCCGCAAUGGGCGAAAGCCUGACGGAGCAACGCCGCGUGAGUGAUGAAGGUCUUCGGAUCGUAAAACUCUGUUAUUAGGGAAGAACAUAUGUGUAAGUAACUGUGCACAUCUUGACGGUACCUAAUCAGAAAGCCACGGCUAACUACGUG
rnacentral:rRNA from 1 species